UAAUAAUAAAGCAAUGUUUUCGAACUGCACUACAUAGAGGGGUAUGCCCCUGUACACUUUUGGAAAAUAAAUAUUUAUUAGCAUAACAGACAAAUUAUUUCUAGCAUUUAAAUUGGUACCCAACACUUUUACUAAAAUUAAUUUGACUCGUUUAAUUUUCAAAAAAUUUGGACAAUGUAUUUACUUUGACCCUUUAACAAAGAUAUAAAAAUUUCAAAAGUUUUGAACCAACUGUUUUGUCAGAAAAGUUACACUGGUUAUAUAGCAGUUUGACAAACACCAAUUUUGAUCAUUGAGAAGCUUAACAUUCCCUUUACAACACAACGUAAUUAAACGCUUUUUUUACCUAGAUUAAUUUAAUUCUUAAAUUUGACAGCAAUUCAACAAAAAACAAAAUUACCUGGGAUUCAGUAAGCCUAAUUAUAUAUCUAAGAUAGCUGCAUAGUAUGAUGAAAGUCAAGUCGAAGUAGUUAGUACUUUGUAGUUUUCAUUGACAUUGCUCUGUUGACCAAUCUAUGUUUAACACUUUUCAAAACGUUUAGAAAAUACAUACAGAUGAAUAAGUACAUUAUAUCUUUGAUGAACAUAAAUUGAUUAUGUCCCCUCUUGUGAUAAGAUUUAACAUAUUUAACUGACGCAUUCUCCAAAGUCGGAUAUUAGAUAACCAGAGAAACCAGAACACUCCUUAAUAUGACGGCAAAAGAUUUAGUCUGCCACAUGCUAGAGGUUGUUGAACUUCAACUUGCAGUCAAAAUCAAAUUAAAACUUUUUGAUUGAUGUCUUUCAAAUGUCUUUCAUGUUUUGUAUGCAAUGUAUAUGUUUUGUAUAGUUAAAUUCUGAGUGAUAAAACAUUUUAUAUGCUGAGAAUAACAGAUUACUGGUAUUCAUAUUAUAGCUGGUUGGUUUGGUCGUAUAGUUUUCUCUAAGCAGUUUAAACUUAGUUCUGCAUCUCUUAUGAUCUUAUUGUGUAUGCAGAUUCCUUGAAAAUUAGGCAGCUUUGAAACUAGAUCUUAUUGUAUUUUUUAAAUGCAGUGUAGUAGAGUCCAAGAUGAAACGGAAUGGAGGCUGAUUUCUUGAAUUAUAAAAAGGCAUACAUGAAAUCGAAAAUAUGAAAAUAUUUAACAAUUUGAAGUUUAAUCCCAGCUUUUUGCUACAUUGUUUGAAGGGUAUGAUCUCUGAUGUUUACCGUAUUACGUUAUAAACAGAUCACAAUUGUAUCUAUAUUUAGUCAUCUUCAAAAGUAAAAUAUCC
rnacentral:lncRNA from 1 species